CAUCACGAUGGCGAUCACGGCGACUGUUAAGUAAACGUGUUGCGAGAUGUUGAGUGCGUUUCGGGUCGUUUAGACUAAACAGUCAUAAAAAUUUUUGAACAGCAAAACUGUUGCGUUAUGCUGAACGCAAAAAAAUAGUCAACGUUUUUUUUACUGGUUGAAUAAGAAUAGUGCCUAUCGAGCGUUUCCUAUUCAAUGGCUCCUAUUAAAUGAUAUCAAACUGCUAUUUUCAAUAUGACACUGGCCAAUAUUCAUAGUCGAUUAGAAGACAGUCUUAAAAGUUAGAAGAAUCGGCCGCAUCUUCAAACAUUACAGACUGUUCUAUAAGAUCCGAUUAUGAAUACCAUCCAAGUCUGGGUUUUUAAGAUAUCUUUUGAUGUGAGAUCAUGUGAAAGCUUUAUACUAGAUUUAUUAUGCUGCAACACAGUUUAAUAAUUGUAUUAUUUUAUAUCUAUUAAAAUAUAUCUAUUAAAAGUAUUGAAUAAAGAUUUUGAUGA
rnacentral:sRNA from 1 species